rnacentral:rRNA from 1 species
AGAGUUUGAUCCUGGCUCAGAUUGAACGCUGGCGGCAGGCCUAACACAUGCAAGUCGAACGGUAACAGGAAGCAGCUUGCUGCUUCGCUGACGAGUGGCGGACGGGUGAGUAAUGUCUGGGAAGCUGCCUGAUGGAGGGGGAUAACUACUGGAAACGGUAGCUAAUACCGCAUAAUGUCGCAAGACCAAAGAGGGGGACCUUCGGGCCUCUUGCCAUCGGAUGUGCCCAGAUGGGAUUAGCUUGUUGGUGGGGUAACGGCUCACCAAGGCGACGAUCCCUAGCUGGUCUGAGAGGAUGACCAGCCACACUGGAACUGAGACACGGUCCAGACUCCUACGGGAGGCAGCAGUGGGGAAUAUUGCACAAUGGGCGCAAGCCUGAUGCAGCCAUGCCGCGUGUAUGAAGAAGGCCUUCGGGUUGUAAAGUACUUUCAGCGGGGAGGAAGGGAGUAAAGUUAAUACCUUUGCUCAUUGACGUUACCCGCAGAAGAAGCACCGGCUAACUCCGUGCCAGCAGCCGCGGUAAUACGGAGGGUGCAAGCGUUAAUCGGAAUUACUGGGCGUAAAGCGCACGCAGGCGGUUUGUUAAGUCAGAUGUGAAAUCCCCGGGCUCAACCUGGGAACUGCAUCUGAUACUGGCAAGCUUGAGUCUCGUAGAGGGGGGUAGAAUUCCAGGUGUAGCGGUGAAAUGCGUAGAGAUCUGGAGGAAUACCGGUGGCGAAGGCGGCCCCCUGGACGAAGACUGACGCUCAGGUGCGAAAGCGUGGGGAGCAAACAGGAUUAGAUACCCUGGUAGUCCACGCCGUAAACGAUGUCGACUUGGAGGUUGUGCCCUUGAGGCGUGGCUUCCGGAGCUAACGCGUUAAGUCGACCGCCUGGGGAGUACGGCCGCAAGGUUAAAACUCAAAUGAAUUGACGGGGGCCCGCACAAGCGGUGGAGCAUGUGGUUUAAUUCGAUGCAACGCGAAGAACCUUACCUGGUCUUGACAUCCACGGAAGUUUUCAGAGAUGAGAAUGUGCCUUCGGGAACCGUGAGACAGGUGCUGCAUGGCUGUCGUCAGCUCGUGUUGUGAAAUGUUGGGUUAAGUCCCGCAACGAGCGCAACCC